rnacentral:rRNA from 1 species
GAUGAACGCUGGCGGCGUGCUUAACACAUGCAAGUCGAACGAGAAAUGGAGACGGAAACCUUAGGGCUGAAGGCUGCAUUUCUAGUGGCGGACGGGGGAGUAACGCGUGGGUAACCUGCCUCAUACAGGUGGAUAACAGUUGGAAACGACUGUUAAUACCGCAUAAGACCACAGCACCGCAUGGUGCGGGUGUAAAAACUCCGGUGGUAUGAGAUGGACCCGCGUUCGAUUAGCCAGUUGGCGGGGUAACGGCCCACCAAAGCGACGAUCGAUAGCCGAUCUGAGAGGAUGACCGGCCACAUUGGGACUGAGACACGGCGCAAACUCCUGGGGGAGGCAGCAGUGGGGAAUAUUGCACAAUGGGGGAAACCCUGAUGCAGCGACGCCGCGUGAGUGAAGAAGUACUUCGGUAUGUAAAGCUCUAUCAGCAGGGAAGAAAAUGACGGUACCUGAGGAAGAAGCCCCGGCUAACUACGUG